UAUGUGCUGGUGGUUGCUUGAGAGGUGAGAUCAAUUCAUGUAUAAUGAAAGCCAGAGCGGUUUAUGCCAAUCUGGGCCAUGGUGGUGUGUCGAAAGUAAUCAUUUUUAAUAUGCAAUAAGUGUGUCUAGACCAUCGAAUCCAGUAUUCCAGGACGAAACUGAACACCAUGAUGAUAACGGGUAACGGGGAAUCAGGGUUCGAUUCCGGAGAGGGAGCCUGAGAAAUGGCUACCACAUCCAAGGACGGCAGCAGGCGCGAAAAUUACCCAUUCCCGGCACGGGGAGGUAGUGACGAAAUAUACGGAUACGGGACUCAAUUGAGGCUCCGUAAUUUGAAUGAGUACAAUUUAAGGAGGACUGAUUGGAGGGCAAGUCUGGUGCCAGCAGCAGCGGUAACUCCAGCUCCAAAAGCGUAUAUUAAAGUUGCUGCAGUUAAAAAGCUCGUAGUUGGAUCUGGGUCGUGCGGUCGCAUGCCGCUGCUUGUUCACGGUUUUGGUUACGAUCAGGACGUGUUCAAACUUAAACACAAACUGCACAACAUUGUCAAUGUACGCUAAGAAUACUCCUGAAAUAGCAGUAUUUGAAGAUCUUUAACUGGAGAAAAUUUAGUAUAUACAGAAAACGACUUGCUCUAUUAGGUUGUAUAUCCAGUCAUUAAGGGCUCUAAGUAUAUCAUGA
rnacentral:ncRNA from 1 species